GCGUCAAAGACCGCUGGACCAUUUCUGUAUUCUCUGUGUUUGUUAUAGAUAGAAAAUAUAUUAUUUGUUAUUAAUGUAAGUUAUUUAUGUAUACGUUUUAUAUAUCAUAAUUCUAAUAUUGUUUUCUGUAUCCUUUGUUCUUGUUUAGCCACACACACACACACACACACACACGCACACACACACACACACACGCACGCACGCACGCACACACACACACACACACACACACACACACACACACACACACACACACACACACACACACACACACACACACACACACACACACACACACACACCUCCAUCCCAAACACCACAGUGUCCCACUCUAUCACAGGUGGAGAAACCUGUAAAACAGGCACAAAGACGCAUGGACGAAAUGGAGACGUAUACAAGAUGGGAAACAGGGAAACAAGCCUUCUUCACGGGAACAGGACAGAUCUCUGUCACUUAAUAACAUGCAAGAAUAGAGUUCGCUACCGGAGUAUUCGUCUGAAGAGGAGGAUAUGACAGAUUCGUUCGGGCGGCACCUGUUGGAUAACUCCUGACGUGGUAGGGUCCGAUUUACUUGUGAAGAAAGCAAGGAUGUUAUUACUCUCUGAGGGUUACUUUCUUUUGCUGUAUUUUUCAAACAGUUUACCAGUGAUUGAGACAGUCUGUCCUGCAAUCCGUGAAUCUCCAACAGCUUCACAAUAACUGUAUUGUUUAUCGCCCAAUCGAAGAGCAUGUGUCUGUGUUUUUUAUCCAGAAGGUUUCGGUCUAGAUCUAAAAGGGUACAUACUGCAUUACGUCUGAUCUCCUGGCUAUUUAGCCACUGUUCACUGAUUAAAAGAGUGGACAAAUGUCUUAGCCAUGGAUUCACUCGGGUGGAUUUUGGUAUCACAAUGCAAUUUUGAGAUUUCUUUUGUCCAAAAUCUGUUCGGUGUUCACCACCUUUCUUGUGUAUUUUUGACAGCUUGCUCUGGGAGUACUGGACUUUUUGUAAAAGCAGUUUUGCUUUACCAUACACUUCAUAAAUCUGUGUAAUUUUCA